UCUCGUGAAUACCGUUUUCGCUGGUGGCAGCGCUCGCUGCGUUCCCUCUGUUCCCUUCUAUACCGCGGUUGACCCAUUUGGCAAAGACCUCCGCCAGGGAGGAUUCCGCAUUAGCCCCGCGCGCGCGUUUUUACCGCUAAGACUGACCUUAUAGAUCCACUCGUUGGCGCGCUGCCUGAAACUCAGGGGUCGAUCGACUGGCCGAAACAUAGAAUGGCCGUGAACGAUGACUUACUGUGAACGGUAGUUGAACCUGUUACAAAGGGAGAGAAACGAUCCUGAUCAAUGCGCAGCGAAAGGUCAGGGUGAGUUAGCGAGCCGCGCGUAAAGCGAUUUCUCGGUCAAGUGAAAACCGCGCGGGUUUUAAGGCGGUUCCGAUUGUUCCGUUCGCCGGCGAACUUUCGAAAGCAAUUGCUAUACUUGGAUCGAACUCAAUUGGCCGCUCAAGGUCGCUUCCCCCGACUGUGAAUCAUCGACAACUCUCGCCCCACAGCGAACAUCUACGGUACCUUGGUAGGAGGGUAUUUUGAUAAAGAAAUGGUCACUUUGUGAUAUCCAUGGUAUCCAAUUUGUACGUAUGCUAAUUUAGUACUUUAAUUGUUUUCUUUAAAAUUUAUUCCGAUGCUCAAGACCACUUCCCCCAGCUGUAAAUCAUCUCGCAUUAAAUUCUUACCCCCCCCCCUCCCCCCAGCAAGCAUCCAGAAUGAAAUGAUUACUUCGUGGUGUCCAUGGGGAAGUUUGUGUGUAUACCAAUUUAAUUCUUUAACUGCUGUUUUAUUUCUAAGGAAACCUGUUACAACUGGCUAUUUUUAAUGUGUUUGCUUUCGAAUUGAAAAAAAAGAGUGGAUGAGAUCUGUCCGCAACAAGUAUCGAUCCAUGAAAACGAAAACAAACGUGCUCGGUUACCACAGCAAGAACGUAGAUUGACUUCCUGUGUCGCGGGAACUCAAUUCCGAUUGCAGAAAAAAGACCGUCCGCGCGGAGCAGCUUCGUUCCGUCGUCGGGCAACUACGAACAGAAUACCCAAUGGAAAAAGUAAUUUAUUGAAAGAAACGAGCGUGUCGCUUCCACUGGCAAAAAAAAAAAGACUCGCGAGCGGAAGAAAAAUGAGACCUUAGCUCGCAACUGUGCUUUGGAAACUGCUGCACGAAGAUUGAGCUGUCAACUGUUAAGGUUUUAGCAAAAAGGACGAGUUCAACAAUUGUUGAUAUCGUGGUGGCAAUGGUUUAAAUAUUGAGACACUGAUACAAAUCUGAGUGGGUAGAAUAGUAUGUUUAUUAUGUUGUAUUAAUUUGUUGGGUUAUAGAUAAGUUUAUGUUAGUGUAUAUAUUUACUUUUAAUUACGUUUGAUUGUCACACAGAUUGACUCUAAGAGAAAAUAAAUGUUCGCAAGGUACUCUUUAAAUAUUUGCAACAGCAAUUGUUCAAAAUGAUGAUGAUUUAAAUGCCUCGUCAAAUAUAUUAUUCUACCUACUUCUAAACUCUUUGCAUAUAUCUCACUCUAUUUUAUUUUUAUUUCCAUGUUCAUGUUCCCUCCAAGGUUUUUCUGUCUCCAUAUUUUUCACCUUAAUUUAGAAACCUUCUCCAUAUUUUAGUUACUAUUGACACGAAAAUACCUGAAGAGCGCUCCAGAAAGGAGGGCAAACCAUCGCUUCGAAUAAAAUCCUCAACAAAUUACUACGCGGUAACUACCUUUCUUUGACAUUCGCAAGAUCUGUUUAAAUAACGAAAACCACAAAGGGUGCCAAAAUAAAGUCCUCCGCGACAAGGACACUCCAAGUGAAGAUCUCAAAAUCAACACAGUAGAAAUAAAUUCCAAACGCACGAAAAUGCUUCGUAUCGAUACAAGCAUUGUUUCGUUUUUUGCACUGUCAGACUGGUUAUUUGUUAGGCGGAUUGUUCAUGGCCAUCGAGGUAAAACGCGCGUACACGCGGUGCACGAGCUGGAAGACGAAGUAUCAGGCCACCGACGCGAGGCAGUUGACAGUCGAUAGGAGUUAAUUAUUUAGGCCGACUAACUGCGACCAGAAUUCGCGGCUGUUAUAGUCAAGUAGAUAAGAACAAAGGACGGGUCUUGCGAAAGGAAACGUAGGAACGUUAAUGGCCUUUCCAGCGAGGAGAGCUUGACAAAUAGUGGUCGACGGCGAUGAAAGAACGGCUGCGUUUCGUUACGUACCCGCGUAACGAGUUCGAUCUCUCAUAGUAGGAGAGGGUCGAGCCAUAAAGAACCCCGACGAUGCAGAGGACAGCUCGAGUAGGAGUUUUGUGACCAUCGAUGUGUAAGACGUAUCGCGGUCGACUGGAAACGAAAGGUGAAACGGAAGUAACGAGAACUGAAGCUUGCGUCCCCCUGAUACGUGAACAUCUUUAUUAAUAUUUGGAUGGUUCCUACUUCGUACCAGCCGUUUAAGUAUCGCUAACUUGGCGUGGUUCGUAAGAAGACAAUUUUUGUAUGAAUUUUGAAUGGUAGCGAUGAUUUUGAACGAUGAGUGAUAUUAGUUAUUUUUGAUUUAUAAUUUUCAAAGAAUAAGGAUCAAUGACGAUUGUGUGUAUAUUAAUUUAAAGCGUUAGGUCGAACACUACUAGAGAAAUUUAGUGUAUUGCUCGGGUGUUACUAAAAGUUGUCUUUACUAAAAUUAUUGCCUGUCGAUAUAGAAUGCAGAACACUGAUGUAGAUAAAAUA